rnacentral:rRNA from 1 species
AUACGGAGGGUGCAAGCGUUACUCGGAAUCACUGGGCGUAAAGCGCGCGCAGGCGGUCUUUUAAGUUGGAUGUGAAAGCCUACGGCUCAACCGUAGAACUGCAUCCAAAACUAUUAGACUAGAGUGUGGGAGAGGAAGAUGGAAUUAGUUGUGUAGGGGUAAAAUCCGUAGAGAUAACUAGGAAUACCAAAAGCGAAGGCAAUCUUCUGGAACACUACUGACGCUGAGGCGCGAAAGCGUGGGGAGCAAACGGGAUUAGAAACCCUAGUAGUCC